rnacentral:rRNA from 1 species
GUGCCAGCAGCCGCGGUAAUACGGAAGGUCCGAGCGUUGAUCCGGAUUUAUUGGGUUUAAAGGGAGCGCAGGCGGAGAUGCAAGCCAGCCGUAAAAUCGUCGGGCUCAACCCGAUCUCGCGGUUGGAACUGCAUCCCUUGAGUGCGGGAGAGGAAGGCGGAACUCGUGGUGUAGCGGUGAAAUGCAUAGAUAUCACGAAGAACUCCGAUCGCGAAGGCAGCUUUCCGGCCCGUAACUGACGCUGAGGCUCGAAGGCGCGGGUAUCAAACAGGAUUAGAUACCCUGGUAGUCCGCGCAGUAAACGAUGGAUGCUCGCGUUUUGGCCUAUAUGGCUGAGACGCCAAGCGAAAGCGUUAAGCAUCCCACCUGGGGAGUACGCCGGCAACGGUGAAACUCAAGGAAUUGACGGGGGCCCCGUACGAGCGGAGGAACAUGUGGUUUAAUUCGAUGAUACGCGAGGAACCUUACCCGGGCUUGAAAUGCGACUGACCGGGACUGAGAGACCAGUCCUUCCUUCGGGCAGUCGUGUAGGUGCUGCAUGGUUGUCGUCAGCUCGUGCCGUGAGGUGUCGGCUUAAGUGCCAUAACGAGCGCAACCCUUACCGCCGGUUACCAUCGGGUAAUGCCGGGGACUCCGGCGGCACUGCCAUCGCAAGAUGUGAGGAAGGCGGGGAUGACGUCAAAUCAGCACGGCCCUUACGUCCGGGGCCACACACGUGUUACAAUGGGGGGCACAGCGAGCUGGAUGAUGGCGACAUCAUUCGAAUCAUGAAAUCCCCUCCCAGUUCGGACUGGAGUCUGCAACCCGACUCCACGAAGCUGGAUUCGCUAGUAAUCGCGCAUCAGCCAUGGCGCGGUGAAUACGUUCCCGGGCCUUGUACACACCGCCCGU